rnacentral:rRNA from 1 species
UGGGGAAUUUGCACAAUGGGCGAAAGCCUGAUGCAGCGACGCCGCGUGAGGGAUGACGGCCUUCGGGUUGUAAACCUCUUUCAGCAGGGACGAAGCGCAAGUGACGGUACCUGCAGAAGAAGCACCGGCUAACUACGUGCCAGCAGCCGCGGUAAUACGUAGGGUGCAAGCGUUGUCCGGAAUUACUGGGCGUAAAGAGUUCGUAGGCGGUUUGUCGCGUCGUUUGUGAAAACCAGCAGCUCAACUGCUGGCUUGCAGGCGAUACGGGCAGACUUGAGUACUGCAGGGGAGACUGGAAUUCCUGGUGUAGCGGUGAAAUGCGCAGAUAUCAGGAGGAACACCGGUGGCGAAGGCGGGUCUCUGGGCAGUAACUGACGCUGAGGAACGAAAGCGUGGGUAGCGAACAGGAUUAGAUACCCUGGUAGUCCACGCCGUAAACGGUGGGCGCUAGGUGUGGGUUCCCUUCCACGGAAUCCGUGCCGUAGCUAACGCAUUAAGCGCCCCGCCUGGGGAGUACGGCCGCAAGGCUAAAAACUCAAAGGAAUUGACGGGGGCCCGCACAAGCGGCGGAGCAUGUGGAAUUAAUUCGAUGCCACCGCGAAGAACCUUACCUGGGUUUUGAAAUAUACCGGAAAGCUGCAGAGAUGUGGCCCCCCUUGUGGUCGGUAUACAGGUGGGUGCAUGGCUGUCCGUCAGCUCGUGUCCUGAGAUGUUGGGUUAAGUCCCGCAACGAGCGCAACCCCUAUCUUAUUGUUGCCAGCACGUUAUGGUGGGGGACUCGUAAGAAAAACUGCCCGGGGUUCAACUCCGAAGGAAAGGUGGGGAACGACGUCAAGUCAUCAUGCCCCUUAUGUCCAGGGCUUCACACAUGCUACAAUGGCCAGUACAGAGGGCUGCGAGACCGUGAGGUGGAGCGAAUCCCUUAAAGCUGGUCUCAGUUCGGAUCGGGGUCUGCAACUCGACCCCGUGAAGUCGGAGUCGCUAGUAAUCGCAGAUCAGCAACGCUGCGNGAAACUUCCCG